rnacentral:rRNA from 1 species
ACACGACUACAUUAGAUACCCGGGUAGUCCUAGCCGUAAACGAUACUCGCUAGGUGUCGGCCACGGUGCGACCGUUGUCGGUGCCGUAGGGAAGCCGUGAAGCGAGCCACCUGGGAAGUACGGCCGCAAGGCUGAAACUUAAAGGAAUUGGCGGGGGAGCACAACAACGGGUGGAGCUUGCGGUUUAAUUGGAUCCAACGCCGGAAAUCUUACCGGGACCGACAGCAACAUGAAGGCCAAGCUGAAGACUUUGCCGGAUUAGCUG